rnacentral:rRNA from 1 species
UACGUGAGGGGCGAGCGUUGUCCGGAGUUACGUGGGCGUAAGCGCACGCAGGCGGUCUGUUAAGUUUGGAGGUGACCAGUUGGUGGCUCAACCACCAAAGUGCUUUGAAAACUGAUAGACUUGAGGGCUCAGAGGGACACGGAAUUCCGGGUGGAGUGGUGAAAUGCGUAGAGAUCCGGAGGAACACCAAAGGCGAAGGCAGUGUCCUGGG